AAUGCCUCACUCUGGAGGGUCUUACGGUUACCCUUGCUUGGGAUCCUCUUACUGGAUCCCAAGCAGUUAACAGCCAUGUGCCUCUGUGCCUAAUACCCUCCCCCUUAAAUGAAGUUUCACUAUGUAGCCGAGGAUGGGCUUUCAAUUCAAGGCAGAAUUCCUGGCCUUAGCCUCCCAAGUGCUAUGUCUAGAUUUUCAUGCGCUAACUUAAGGAUAGGAAGUAAGGAUAUGUCUCUCAGAUACCUAAGGUCAAGUGUAAUUGAUUUGAAAAGCUUUAAUCUUUCUUUUUUUCAGACAAGGUUUCUCUGUUGUAGUCCUGGAUGUCCUGGAACUCACUUUGUAGACCAGGCUGGCCUUGCACUUGAGACAUCCACCUGCCUCUGGAGGGUGGAGAUUAAAGGCUUGAGCCACCACUGCCCCGUUAAGAACUUUUAAAUUAUAGAUACCAUCUACUGGCUGGUCGGGAUCAGUGAUUAGAACACUUGCUGAGGACACAGAAGUGGCUCUCAGGACCCACAUAGCAGCUCAAGUCUGUAACUCCAGUUCUAGACAAUCUAAUGCCUUUAAACGUGAUACACAGGUACAUGCAAGCAAAACAUCCACUCACACAUAAAGUAUUUAAAUCCAGGUUCUAUAUACACUCCUCCCAACACUGGCACUCAAGCUUCCUUGGUACAGAUCAAAAGGCAACCUUAUUGUCAAGUUCAGAAUGACAAGAGG
rnacentral:lncRNA from 1 species